rnacentral:rRNA from 1 species
AUUGAACGCUGGCGGCAGGCUUAACACAUGCAAGUCGAGCGGGGUGAUGGUGCUUGCACUAUCACUUAGCGGCGGACGGGUGAGUAAUGCUUAGGAAUCUGCCUAUUAGUGGGGGACAACAUCUCGAAAGGGAUGCUAAUACCGCAUACGUCCUACGGGAGAAAGCAGGGGAUCACUUGUGACCUUGCGCUAAUAGAUGAGCCUAAGUCGGAUUAGCUAGUUGGUGGGGUAAAGGCCUACCAAGGCGACGAUCUGUAGCGGGUCUGGGAGGAUGAUCCGCCACACGGGGACUGAGACACGGCCCAGACUCCUACGGGAGGCAGCAGUGGGGAAGAUUGGACAAUGGGGGGAACCCUGAUCCAGCCAGGCCGCGUGUGUGAAGAAGGCCUUAUGGUUGUAAAGCACUUUAAGCGAGGAGGAGGCUCUUUUGGUUAAUACCCAAGAUGAGUGGACGUUACUCGCAGAAUAAGCACCGGCUAACUCUGUGCCAGCCGCCGCCGUAA